UGUGGGCAUACUGUAUUUUUUCCUUUUCCCCAGUGCAGGUGAAUGCAUGAUUUUCCUGGCUCCAUUCUAUGACUUUACAUUUCCAGGAAAUACAGAUUUCAACAAAUACCUACCAAAGAAGCUGGUUAAUGGGAAGGAAAAGAUCACUGGAUCUGUUAAAACUGGUCUGCAAGAUGGAUCAUUUAGCUGUAAGUGAGUUGAAUUAUAACCGAGAGUGUCCAGGUAAGACUUGCUCAGAACAAUUUSCAUUCUCUCUGAAGAG